CGAACCUCUUUUCUUGUUUUUUUGGUUGUUUAUGUUUUUUUUUUCUCAUUCUCCUUUCUCCCUCUCGAGGAGGAGAGAGGCCUCACUGUGGGUGGGGAAGCCGAGCAGCCUCCUCCCCCCUCCCUCCCUAUCCCAGCCACUGCCGAACCACCCCCUGGUGGUGACAGGGCCAGGGUGCCUAGGACGUGGGGAGGUCAGUGCGAUGCAGUGGCACGGAUGCCGGCGGCCAAUCCCUGGACGGCGUGGCGCCGGUGCGACCCGCGACCGUGAGCGUGCUUGCGCCAUCCAUGCGAUGGGCAAGGCGUCAGCGUGAUACCAACGCGUCUCGCUCGGCCCUCGCACUGCCUGCUGCUGGGGAGGCUGAGUGCCACCCUGCGAGGCGGGUGGGUGGGUAGAGUUUGGGUCAGGGGCCGUGCACAGAUGACUGUGUCGGCGCACUGCUGUGAUGCGUGUCUGCGGCUGCGUUGCACCGCGCGCUGGGUGCCUGUGGCAGGCCCGGUAGAGUGGAGCUUAGCGCAUGUUGUGUGGCGCAGGAAUGGACACGGAAACAAAAAGGGAAAAACGGCAGCACUGCUGUUUGUCAUCCUUCGUUUCCAGUCUGAUUAUGGUCGGCCUUCCCCGCCACGUCGGUGCGCGUUCCCAUCCUGCUACUCGCUGAAACAGUCUCUUUUGUUAUUCUUAUCACUGCGCCCUUCCUUUACGUGUGUGUGCAUCUCUGCCAUCUCGUGUUUGCCCUCUUUUUUUGACUCGUGGCGUGCUGGUGAAAGAAACGCUCGGCUUUUGUGGGAAACUGGAGGAGGAGGGGUUUCCAGCCGUGGCUGGUGGCGGCUUCACGCACGCAUCCCUUUCAUCUGUGCUGAAUCGCCCAUGUACUGCACUCUUUUCCCCUCCCUCACGCCCCCCCCCCCUUUGCCCUCUUCAUCCGCUGGAUGUUUUCGCGUCAUUUUUAUUUUCUUUGAUUGGAUAAGGUCACUGGACGCUGUUGAUUUCGUCUUCUUUGCCCCCUCCCCAUCGUAUUUCUCUGUCUACCGCUAUCGUGUCCAUGUGUACGCGUGGUCUGUUUCUUUGUGCUCUUGUUCUGCUUCGGGUGACUGGCAGAUACAUCAGCCGAAAUGCUUAUUAUCAUGGCUCGUGUUGUCUUAGGCACUUCCCCCUCUCUGUAUCCCCAGCUCUCAAUCACCUUCUUCGGCCCCCUACUCCACCCCACCCCACCCCCAGCUCGUCCCUCGAAUUCGACCGCGGCGUGCACAGUCAUCUUUUUUCCUCUGUCUGCUUCCCUCUGUGUGUGAGUGUGUGUCCAUCUCUGCGAUGGUCGAUGUUCAAGGCAGCCAUGAUGCUGGUUGCUCACCGCGAUGAGAUACAAAAACAAUGCAAGCAACCGUCAAGGGGAAGCAUAGGCACCCUUGUCAAGAGAGAGAUGUGGACUGGUGCGGUCUCCAGCGGUUCACAAAAAAAAAAUUACGUAUAUGGCGACAGUGCGAGAUGAUUGUAAUGGAAAAAGAGAGAGGGGGAGGGCGGCUGGUCGAGAGGCGAGGAAAGAGAGGAGAAGCGGCCGGCACUUGUGCUGCGGGUGUUCCAGGCGACAUCUUCACUGGACCUCUCAGCUGUGUCUCUUCUUCCCUCUGGUGUGCACACACGCUGGUUCGCCGGUCGCUGUUGCACGCACGCUUCCCGCCUUGUCUGUCUGUGGGCGUGUAUGUGUGUGUGUGGCAGCACCUUUCUCUCUCCCCAACUCCUGCGCGACGCCGCUAGUUUGUCCACCACUCCCGCACUUUCUGUGAGCUCGUGAUGUACACAUAUGCAUCAAUUCACUUUGCCCCCCCCCCCUAACGCAUCCCUCUUCAG
rnacentral:misc_RNA from 1 species